CUGGAUUCUGAUAACAAAUCAUGCAACAGGUGUUGGACAUGCAACAUAAGCACCCAGCUGACCUUGGUUUGUGUGUGUGCAUGGAGGAGAGGAGCUGCUGCAAAAGUUUUCUUGGAAAGUAAGGAUGUUUCAGAGGGAGCUGGAGAGCCAAAGGUCACUGUUUUUGAGACACUCUACGUUUCCAUGACUGCAGGAAUAUGACAAGCACACUGUGUAUCCUUUGACUUUAGAAAAUAUCCCCAGACAGUGAACAGGCAAUCAACCUGCCUUUUUAUACUUUGGAGAAGUCUUGUUUUUCCUUCUUGAAAAAAAGUCAUGACCUGUCAUUAGUUUCUUCCCCUGAAACACAUCACAUUGCUGACAGUAAAAUGAUGUUUUCAUUCUAAGAAUUCUACAGGGGAAAAAAAAGGGAGCAGUCGUUUUCUCAAGGAAAUAACUUAACAAGACCAUGGUGAUUACAACAAUUGGCUGGACAUAUCAGAAAAAUAACUGCUAUGGUUAAUCCAAAAUAAAAAAUUACAAGAAAGGAAA